CCGGUGGUCAGCUGUUAGUCGUGGCCAAGGUUUCAGCUGCUGUGGGUCGCAGUUCUAGCCACACCCACCCCCUUUGUGCGUUAAAGCCUUCUCUGCGACCGCAACACUUUCAAGCCAGGACCUGUUCUCCUUAGAACAGUGUGCCAGGGCCUUCCUGCCCGCACUCACUCCUGCUCCCCAGGAAAACACCAGAGGCAGGGAGUGAUGUGAUGGCUGCACCGGCAUCCCGGGAAGGAAGUGAUGUCAUUCGGUAGGGACCUGACUCGGGACAUAGUAGAGUUGCUGAUCCUAGGGGCACAGGAGAACGAGGAAAUAACGGGGCACAAGGGUCAGCACGCCACGAUGCUGGUGAACCCUGGCACCCUGGCCACAAGGACGGAACUCCACGGCGCAGCUGCA
rnacentral:lncRNA from 1 species